AACAAUAUGCAUGUCAUACUAUGGUAAAAUAUUUAAACAUGUAGGCAUUAUAUAUUUUCUUUAAUAAUGUUUGUUUAAUGUUGUUUCAAUUUUUUCGUUUAUCCUACGCUUUUACUGGAUUUCCCGUGUUUUUUCCCGGUUUUUCAUUCGCUGGGAAAACUCUUGAUAAAAUAGAAAUAUAACUUCCCUAAAGUACCUUCCCAGUCAAAUUUCCUUUCAGAAAAAGUACUGUUAUUGUAAAUAUGAGCAAGAUUUCUGGUAGAAAAGUUGUCACAGAUAAAAAUUAAUGAUAAUAAUGAUAAAAACAUAAUUGUAAAACCAUAAGUUUCUGCACUCCGCUCAGAAUGUGAAACAGCUAUUAUACUUUUGGUACGCGUUUUUUUUGGAUUACCCUCGUCGUUUUCUCAAUAAUUGGGAAAAGACUUCGAAAAAUCGUGAACAUAAUUACGGUAUCCGUUAUUUUCGAUUUUGUCGUUUUUUCUUUCUCUGUUCUGUUUAAUUCAAAUAAAAAUAAUCGUGCAGAUCUGAGAAUUUUACCGAACACUUAUACCAGCCCACGACAGACUUGAUA